GCCUGGGUGGCUCAGUUGGUUAAGUGUCUGACUUCAGUUCAGGUCUGUGAGUUCGAGCCCCGCGUCAGGCU
rnacentral:tRNA from 1 species